UACAGAGGUCUCAAGCGUUGUUCGGAUUCAUUGGGCGUAAAGGGUGCGUAGGUGGCGGGGUAAGUCAGGUGUGAAAUUUCGGAGCUCAACUCCGAAACUGCAUUUGAUACUGCCUUGCUUGAGGACUGGAGAGGAGACUGGAAUUCACGGUGUAGCAGUGAAAUGCGUAGAUAUCGUGAGGAAGACCAGUGGCGAAGGCGGGUCUCUGGACAGUUCCUGACACUGAGGCACGAAGGUCAGGGGAGCAAACGGG
rnacentral:rRNA from 1 species